rnacentral:lncRNA from 1 species
GGAUGGCGGCGGGACAGGCGGGGCCGGUGGGGCUCGGGGCUGGAGCGACUGGAGGCGAGCAGGUAGGUCCCCAGGUGAACGUACCCUAGCGAACGCCUCGGCGAGAUGGAAGAGAGUGGGCGGCGGGCUCUUCUGGAAGUGUGGGGAAACUUUGGAAGUUUGGAGAGCUUUCUGUGUUCUCAGCGCUCAAACUAGCGUUUCACGCAAGGGACCCGGUGCGACUCCGGUUGGGGGAUGAUUCACCUCUUAAAACUGACUCAAAUUUCAGUUUUUAAAAACGUCUUGAGUUUUGAAGUUUGAAUGAUUUUUCAAAAUUUAACUUCGAGUUCUGAGUGUUUUUAAGUUUUGAAAAUGUAGCUUAACUUUGCAAAUACACGUUUUGGAAAUUUAGAUUUUAAAGAUUUCAGUUGUGACCUCAGUUUAAAACGUUUUGUUUACUUUAAAAUAUUAGUUUUCAAUUUGAUUUUGUAAAUGUCCAUAAAAUUUUAAUGAGCAGCAGUUAUUUCUCUUGUUUUCACAACGUUAUUGGGCGCCUGUCGUACAUUUGUAUUGACACGUGAUGCAUAUGGAUAUUAUAAACACCUGUUGUCAUGUGUACGCGCGGCCCCGACCGAGGCGACCCCGGGGCGGCGCGCUUCACUCUGCUCUCCCGGGACGUGAGUCGGCUGCGGGCGGCGCGGGGCCGCGGGGCCGGCGGUCCUUGCACCCCAGCUGAGGCCUCUCUCCUGCGGGUGGUGGUGCGGGCGCGGCCCGGCAGGGGGCGCCGUCCGCAAGCUCUUGGCACCGCGAUUUCUCCCACGCGCACCUGCUGCUGGGCGGACUGCAAAGACGAGCCGCCAGGAACGCGGACCACCGUGCAGCCGGCUUUCUGGAAGAGGCCCCGGACGAGUUCUUACAAGUUCAUCUGUGAGCACAAACGAGAACGUGCCCAACUCUUCAAGUUUUCUUACCUGCACUAAGGGUCCACGCAUGCGGCAUCAAUGACAACUUGUCAAAAGCUUAAGUCCUUCGAGCCGGAUUCGAACCAGCGACCUAAGGAUGACCACAACCGAACAUCUACAGUCCUCCGCUCUACCAACUGAGCUAUCGAAGGAUUGGUGGUAUGGUUUGUCAGAAUACCUUGAAUAAGGUGUAGCCCAGUGGUUUUAACCACCUUUUUAAAACAGGCAAACAUGAUUUUUUCUAGGGUGCUACAAAUGUUCUAAAACUGAUAGGGGUGGUGAUGAUAGAGAUAUAUUAAAAAAUUAAUACCCUUGAACACUUAAGCUUUGUGCUUUUUGCUGUCUUUUUUUUUUUUUUUAAGAUUUUUUAUUUAUUUAUCUGAGAGAGAGAGCACAAGCAGAGGGGCCAAAGGAGAAGCAGACUCCAGGCUCAGCAGGGAGCCUGAUGCGGGGCUCCAUCCAAGGACCCUGAGCUGAAGGCAGAUGCUUAACCAACUGAGCCACCCAGGCACCCCUGUUUUAGGUCAUUAAUAAAAGAAAACAACAUGACCCA